rnacentral:rRNA from 1 species
GAUGAACGCUGGCGGCGUGCUUAACACAUGCAAGUCGAACGGGCCUGUCUUCUUUUUUGGGGGUGGGUUGAGUGGCGAACGGGUGAGUAUCACGUGAGUAACCUGCCCUUCGGUCCUGGAUAACCGCUUGAAAGGGCGGCUAAUACGGGGUGGUCCGGUUGGUCCGCAUGGGCUGGUCGGGAUAGAUUCACUGUUUUUGGUGUUUCGGCGGGGGAUGGGCUCGCGGCCUAUCAGCUUGUUGGUGGGGUGAUGGCCUACCAAGGCGGUGACGGGUAGCCGGCCUGAGAGGGUGGGCGGCCACACUGGGACUGCGAUACGGCCCAGACUCCUGCGGGAGGCAGCAGUGGGGGGUAUUGCACAAUGGGCGGAAGCCUGAUGCAGCGACGUCGCGUGAGGGAUGGAGGCCUUCGGGUUGUGAACCUCUGUUUCCGGUGGUGAAGGCCCUGUCCGUGUGGUGGGGUUGACGGUAGCCGGGGAUGAAGCGCCGGCUAACUACGUG